rnacentral:rRNA from 1 species
UACAGAGGUCUCAAGCGUUGUUCGGAUUCAUUGGGCGUAAAGGGUGCGCAGGCGGCGCGGUAAGUCGGGUGUGAAAUCUCAGAGCUCAACUCUGAAACUGCACUCGAUACUGCUCUGCUUGAGGACUGGAGAGGCGACUGGAAUUCACGGUGUAGCAGUGAAAUGCGUAGAUAUCGUGAGGAAGACCAGUGGCGAAGGCGGGUCUCUGGACAGUUCCUGACGCUGAGGCGCGAAGGCCAGGGGAGCAAACGGG